rnacentral:rRNA from 1 species
GACGAACGCUGGCGGCGUGCUUAACACAUGCAAGUCGAGCGGUAAGGCCCUUUCGGGGGUACGACGAGCGGCGAACGGGUGAGUAACACCUGGGUGACCUGCCCUCAGCUCUGGGAUAAGCCUGGGAAACCGGGUCUAAUACUGGAUAUGACUCCAUGACGCAUGUUGUGGGGUGGAAAGCCUUGUGCGGCUGAGGAUGGGCCCGCGGCCUAUCAGCUUGUUGGG